rnacentral:rRNA from 1 species
GGUUUGACGAGAGCUAUGCUGUCUCUUUCGAAAUAUUUAAAAAUUAACUUUUAGGUAAAGAGGCCUAAAUUCGUUUAAGGGACAAGAAGACCCUGUUGAGCUUUAGUGAUCCUAUAAAUUAAUGGGCAAUUUAUUGGUUGUUGUGUAUUUGUGUAUUAUAUAUAACGUAAGUUUAAAGGUAAUCUUUAGUUGGGGCGACUGAGGAACAUGGAAAGCUUCCUUGAAUUUAAAAGCAUGUUGGGCAAUUAAUUUGUUGAUGCAUCUGCGUUAAUUUUGAUCCAAUUUAUUUUGAUUAAGAGAAAAAGUUACCACAGGGAUAACAGCGUAAUCUUUCUGGAGAGAUCUAAUCAAAAGAAGGGUUUGCGACCUCGAUGUUGGACUAAGAUAUCCUGAGGGUGCAGAAGUUCUCAAAGGUUGGUCUGUUCGACCAUUAAAAUCUU